rnacentral:rRNA from 1 species
UACGGGGGGGGCAAGCGUUGUUCGGAAUUACUGGGCGUAAAGGGCUCGUAGGCGGCCAACUAAGUCGGAUGUGAAAUCCCCAGGCUCAACUUGGGAACUGCAUCCGAUACUGGAUGGCUUGAAUUCGGGAGAGGGAUGCAGAAUUCCAGGUGUAGCGGUGAAAUGCGUAGAUAUCUGGAGGAAUACCGGUGGCGAAGGCGGCAUCCUGGACCGGCAUUGACGCUGAUGAGCGAAAGCUAGGGGAGCAAACGG